rnacentral:rRNA from 1 species
ACCCAGACUCCUACGGGAGGCAGCAGUGGGGAAUAUUGCACAAUGGGGGAAACCCUGAUGCAGCGACGCCGCGUGAAGGAAGAAGUAUUUCGGUAUGUAAACUUCUAUCAGCAGGGAAGAAAAUGACGGUACCUGACUAAGAAGCCCCGGCUAACUACGUGCCAGCAGCCGCGGUAAUACGUAGGGGGCAAGCGUUAUCCGGAUUUACUGGGUGUAAAGGGAGCGUAGGCGGCGAUGCAAGUCAGAAGUGAAGGCCCGGGGCUCAACUCCGGGACUGCUUUUGAAACUGUAUGGCUAGAUUGCAGGAGAGGCAAGUGGAAUUCCUAGUGUAGCGGUGAAAUGCGUAGAUAUUAGGAGGAACACCAGUGGCGAAGGCGGCUUGCCGGACUGUAAAUGACGCUGAGGCUCGAAAGCGUGGGGAGCAAACAGGAUUAGAUACCCUAGUAGC